GUCUAUGGCCAUGACACCCUGAACAAGCCCGAUGUCUGAUCUCGGAAGCUAAGCAGGGUCCGACCUGGUUAGUACUUGGAUGGGAGACCACCUAGGAAGACCAGGUGCUGUAGGCA
rnacentral:rRNA from 1 species